rnacentral:tRNA from 1 species
GCUGGAAUAGCCAAGCCUGGUCAAAGGCGACAGACUCAAGAUCUGUUCUCGUAGGGGUUCACCGGUUCGAAUCCGGUUUCCAGCA